GUAGGUGGCAAGCGUUGUCCGGAAUUAUUGGGCGUAAAGCGCGCGCAGGCGGUUCUUUAAGUCUGAUGUGAAAGCCCACGGCUCAACCGUGGAGGGUCAUUGGAAACUGGAGAACUUGAGUACAGAAGAGGAAAGCGGAAUUCCACGUGUAGCGGUGAAAUGCGUAGAGAUGUGGAGGAACACCAGUGGCGAAGGCGGCUUUCUGGUCUGUAACUGACGCUGAGGCGCGAAAGCGUGGGGAGCAAACAGGGAUUAGAUACCCUGGUAGUCCACGCCGUAAACGAUGAGUGCUAAGUGUUAGGGGGGUUUCCGCCCCCGUUAGUGCUGCAGCUAACGCAUUAAGCACUCCGCCUGGGGAGUACGGCCGCAAGGCUG
rnacentral:rRNA from 1 species